UACAGAGGUCUCAAGCGUUGUUCGGAUUUAUUGGGCGUAAAGGGUGCGUAGGCGGCGAGGUAAGUCUGGUGUGAAAUCCUGGGGCUCAACCCCAGAAUUGCACUGGAUACUGCUUUGCUAGAGGACUGGAGAGGAGAUUGGAAUUCACGGUGUAGCAGUGAAAUGCGUAGAUAUCGUGAGGAAGACCAGUGGCGAAGGCGAAUCUCUGGACAGUUCCUGACGUGAGGCACGAAGGCUAGGGGAGCAAACGGG
rnacentral:rRNA from 1 species